AGGGAUGCUACCUAGACGUAUAGGCAAGAUGAAGCAAUGUUUUUAUAUGUUCUUUAGCACCUUACAGCAUAUCUAUAUAUAGCACACCAUGUCCAGGCUCCACACACAGACCUACCUCUGCCACACUGUAACACAAGCUACCACUCCUCAAACACACUAAUUUACCUAAUCUAGAGCCGUUGAGCAUCACCUAUCCAAUCUCACUCUACCUUCACGCAAACACUGCUCAGCUAAGCUUUAAGUAUACAUAUAUACGAACUGCACCCACAUGUUAUAUAGCUCAAACCCAAGCAUGUUGUAUUGUUAUUAUUAUGCUCGCACUGACCUAUCAGUCUAGAUAGCAAAGCCCCACGUAACAAUGUAUGAAAAGCUUAGCCUAGACCUUGAUCACUAGCCUACUGAAUACUUCUCUAUCAUAAAAAAGAAAAUGUGCAAUGUAUAUUAAGCCACACUGUUGUUUUCCUUUGUUUACUGCUUUGUUUGCACUUGCUAUCGUGGCACUGCAAAUCUGCUUGUUAAC